ACUUUGAGAGAGACAAAGAGAGCGUGAGCAGGGGAGGCGCAGAGAGAGAAGGAGAGAGAGAGAAUCCCAAGCAGGCUCCAUGAGGGAGGAGACCCUUCUCCAUCACACUGGUUCCCACCAUCGAGAGGAGACAUGCUGGGCAGAUUCACGGCCAGUCCUCACAGCGGUGGAGAGAUACAGACAAAUUCCACACAUGACCGUGGCCUUUGUGACGCGUGGACAGAUCUGGUCCUCCCUGCUGCCCUGAAGACACCGCACUCUCCCCAGCGAGGCUGCCUGAGCUCGGUGAGAAAUGGUCCCGAGGAAUCAGGAGGCUGUGGGCAUUUUCCUACCGCUGGCUGCCCGCGAUUCGGACGCACCGUGCCACGGACAGGGACAGUAAUGAAAAAGAAGAAACACAAAUGAAGUGAAUGGCCGGUCGCCUCAGGCAAAUGUCCCCUGCAGUUGCUGGUACUGUGAAAAAUAAAAAAAGUCAGCAAUCAAAA